GCAAGUCGAGCGCUCUCUUCGGAGGGAGCGGCGGACGGGUGAGUAACGCGUGGGAAUAUGCCCAAAGGUACGGAACAACAGCUGGAAACGGCUGCUAAUACCGUAUGUGCCCUACGGGGGAAAGAUUUAUCGCCUUUGGAUUAGCCCGCGUUGGAUUAGGUAGUUGGUGAGGUAAUGGCUCACCAAGCCUACGAUCCAUAGCUGGUUUGAGAGGAUGAUC
rnacentral:rRNA from 1 species